CCUGAACGCAAUCAGUAAUAGUUGUGAUAGUUAGCGAUCGCGGUCCAGAACGUUACUGGAGACGUUUGAGGCCAUUAGGAAGGAGGAAGACGGGAAGCUAAGAAAGAAAACAUCGUCAAUAACUCAAAUGAUAAAAAGUGACCAAAUUUUACUUAGGAGCGUGUUGUCAACGUGCAACCAAAGUGAAACUGGAUUGUUCCUGCAAUUGGUGUCUCACAGGGACCACCAAUCCUUUUCGACAGGUGAGGAAACCAAGAGGAAUAAACUGAAAAUGAUCACAGAAUUAACGCUUGUUCAUUUCACUUCUUCAACACGGAGUAUACCAUACCCAACCCGGCUCCGACCAACGGCCAGAGAAGAAACAUGGAGGAACAUGGAGGAAAACAUUGUCAGCACGUCUGGGAGCCAAUCAGAAACAAAGACACAGGAGAUGGAUGGAAGUAAAUACAGGGCAAUCCGGAAGUAAAACCUGUUACUGGCUGGAAAAGACCUGAGACUGGGACAGAACCUUCCAGCAGUCCACUGACGAGUACUUUCCAUGAAGUCUUGGGGACCAUCAACAUUUUUCUUUUAGGCAAAUGUUCACCGUGGCAUCCUUCCACGGAUGCGAUUUUCACCCAGUUUCUUUCAUAUUCUUGAAUUAUAAACACUAAGGUGAGUGUUUUAUGGACUCUCUGCACUAUAAUUUUGGAAGGCUGGACGCUGUAACCCUUUCCAGACUGAAAGAUGUCAAUGAAUGUAUUUUUUUCCCUUUUUUAGUUAGAUUGAACCAUGAUGUGUUGCUUUUCAAGUUGUUUCACCCUACUUUGUGUUGUGAAACAACUUCAAGUGAUUUUGUGAUUUCACUCAACAGACGUGGCUGAUCAGGCUUCGGUGUCGCUAGUGAAAUUGAACAAUUAGGUUAAUCUCAGUUAGUUCAACAAGGUUAAAUAGUCACCGAACGACCAGGCGCAGGAUCAAACCGUGAAAGCGUCGCCAGGUUCCUACAGAAAUCCGAGGUGCAACGCACCCUGACACAACACACACAAAUAAACAUUUCAGACGGUUGAAUAAAUAAAACUAAGAACAACAAUAAACUACAUGAAUCUGUUUUAUGCAUUUAAAUAACUUCUCUUGUUGAGUUUCCAUGCCUUUUAUAUUUUCUGUUCUGUCUUUUUUAUAGUAAUCUGCUGAUUAGACAAAAGUUAUUUUAUUUAGAUCAAAUACAUGUGAUCUAAAUUGACCAAACUGUUUAGUCUAUAACCUGGAAGUGGCCCACGGACCCCACUUUGGACACCCCUGGUUUAGGUGGAAGACCAUUCAUUCCUGGGUAGAGUUGCACUUGUGCAAUGUUUUUUUUCUGCUUUCUGAAAAUAAUAUACAAAGCUUGAGAUAUUGUUUGAAAACCUAACCCUGCUUUUACCUUUACAACUUUCUCCCUGAUGUUCCUUCAUGAUGCAGUUUGUUCUCUAGCAAACCUCUGAAGCCUUCACAGACCAGCUGGAUUCACACUCAGAUUAAAUUACACACACUUGAACCUUAUUUACAAAGAAGUUUGCUUCAGAUUUUCAUCUUGUCAUCUUUUUUCUUUUUUACUUUGAAAAGCACGUAUCGAUUGGAAACCUCAAUAAACCCCACUGGAGGUUGUGGUUGAAAUCCAACCAAAUGUGAAAACUUAAAAGAGGGGUGUGAAUUUAUUUAUUUAUUUUUUUUUUGCAAGCAGCCCUGUAACACCGAAGUAGAGAGAACACAUUACGGAGCUCGAUAGAACCUGACCAACCAGAGCGAGGAAGGAUUUCCCAGCUGGAACAUUUACAUCACAUCAUAUUUGGUGUUUUGACAUGCUGCCCUUUGUUUCCUCUCUCGGAGACCCUCGGCGACCGCCGCACACAGCUUUAACAAGAUGUUGUGACCUGUUAAGCAGUGGCACUUGAAAGUAUUCUUCUUCUGUUCAGCGGUCCACAGAGGCCAAGUUCUUGCCAGGGAUUAUCAAAGUUAACAGGAUUUUAAUGGGCCCACGGAGACCGGUAAAGACCCUACCAAGGCCAGGUAGUGCCGUUCCCCUGCACACGCGCACACACACACACACAUAUACACACACACACACCUCUUGCUCCCCUAAUGCAGUCAGGCAGCACUUGCAAGGCAGUGGCUAAAUAAUAAACAGAUGGCCACUACCAGAUACA